UACGUAGGGGGGCAAGCGUUGUCCGGAUUUAUUGGGCGUAAAGAGCGUGUAGGCGGCUAGGUAGGUCCGUUGUGAAAACUCGAGGCUCAACCUCGAGACGCCGAUGGAAACCAUCUAGCUAGAGUCCGGAAGAGGAGAGUGGAAUUCCUGGUGUAGCGGUGAAAUGCGCAGAUAUCGGGAGGAACACCAGUAGCGAAGGCGGCUCGCUGGGCCAUUCCUGACGCUGAGACGCGAAAGCUAGGGGAGCGAACAGG
rnacentral:rRNA from 1 species